GUUUUUUAUAUAUAUAUAUAUAUAUAUAUUUUUUUUAUUGGGGUAGCCCCCCAAAUAUUCGGACAUAUAAAAAAGACAACUCUGUUCCACAGAGUAGCUGUUGACAUUAUAGUUGCGCAGGCACUUUGUUGACUCUAGAGAACCUCGGGCCAAUCGCACAUCCCUGUGAUGGCGACUUUGCAUUUGGAUUUCAUCCAUAUCAACUUUUAAUGCCAGUUUCUGUGCCUACCAUGGUGACCACGGGUAACGGGGAAUCAGGGUUCCAUUCCGUACAGGGACCCUGAGAAACGGCUACCACAUGCAAGGAAGGCAAC